UCGUAUCCUACAUUCGUACGAAAGUUUGGAUUCGAAUGAGUUCGAAAAUGCCAUUCUUGUUUACGUACAAAGGCCGUACGAAUCCAUUCGUAUCCCGUACGAAUGCGAUACGUAUGCGAAAAGGGUGGAUGUCUAUGCAAAAAUGGUUGAUGUCUAGACUUAAGGGUUAGAAAAAGUUUAAACGUCAGGAGAGAAAUGUCAAGUGUGUCAAGCCGAUUGAGCGAGGCUCCUGACGGCAAACAGUUUUUCACUGGAUGAAAAUUAAAUAUUUUUUUAUUAUAAUUUGCAUCAUAAAAAUACCUUGUUCUUAAAAAUAUCGUCGGUAAACGUAAGCAUAUAACACAAGUUAAACGCGGCUAUUAAAACUUUCAUUUUCGGAAUGAAAUUUAUUUGGCGAAAUAUGAAAUUGGAACCAAAUUUACAAACUCCGUUGCAAAAACAUAAGCGCGUCAUGGGUCUGCAUGAUGCAAUAAAACUUGUAUGUUUACAUUUUGUAAUCAUCUCGAACAGUAUUUCUUAGCAAGCUUAUUCGCGUUUUUUGAAGAUUUGUGAUAAAUAAGUAAAUGUGUGGUUAUGUGCGAUUCUGCGGACAUGGAUUCUGAUGCGGCUGGAGUAAUUACAUGCUAUCUAGAAGUGACUGUUUUCGUUAAUGGAUUCGAGUGCUUGUUGCUGUAGAAAAUCAUCAUCAAAAAGCACGGCAUAAUUUAAAAAAGAAGAUUGAUCUGCUUGCCGUACGUGAAUUUAUUCGAUAGGAAAACUGUAAAUUUACCAGAAGAAGCUUGUUUUAGAAUCGGUGUCAACUUUGGCCCUGCGUUUUUGGCCACUUCAUGUUUGUAGGAAUGCGAAUUGUCGAAAUUUGAAUUUGUCCUUAGUGUUGUUCCGAUAAGACAAUCAGCCUGGUCUACAAGCUAUCUAAAUAGCAGAACACACCGGUUAAAGUUAAGCUGAAGCAUCGUACACUAAAGGAGUUGAAGAAGACCAUCAAGGGCAAGCGACACAAACGGGACUUCCGUCAGAUUACCCUGCGUGGUGCUAGUGAUAUUAGGCGACCCUAGCGACCGGCCAUCGCCUCAGGCCACUGUCUUCGUACGGCUACCACUGCCUCAAAACGGCCCACUGUCUUCGUACGGCUACCACUGCCUCAAAACGGCCCUGUAAACAAUGAUGAACGAUGGAUGUGAGGUUCCAGCGAAUUUUUAUUAUGGGCGCUUUCGGAGAAUUGGCAUCAAACCGACUCGCUUAUGUAAUACAAAAAGGACGUAGGUUCCGUAAUAAAGCCCAAUAAGUUGGAAUGCACUUUGUGAGUAGACUAUGAAAAAUAAAUGGUCGAUAAAAUCUACUAUUGGAAGCUUACUGCUUUUUUGAAGUUAACUCCUGCUAUUUAUUCGCGAACUUUAUUAGGUUUAUAUGCAACUAUGCACUUUUUAAACAAACAGGUUUUAAAUGAAUGGAACUUUGCCAGCUUUUUUAUUAAGCAGUUGUCUUAGCUUUUUCGUCACAUCCGUAAAUUUAUUCAAUCGCGCUCUAGUUUACUCUAAAGAGCAUAAUUCAAGAAAUAUUUUACGUGUGCUUCAAUGACCACGCGAUGUAAUGGUAAAGUGUUUGGGUGUGCUCCGUGGUGGCCCUCGUUGGCGUUAUGUUCACUCGAGCGCAUAAUCAAUCAUACCACAAAAACAACGUGUUAGUUUUUAUUUCUGGUACAAGUGGCAAUAAUUUGGGUUUGGCUUGCUUUGCUUUGAGUGAUACAAACUAUUAACGAUUGGAUUGGUAGCCGAAGUUAAUUGGAAAUUUCGAUUUUCUUGUAUAUCGGCACAGCGAUUAUGAUACGGUUUCAUUGCAUUGUCUCCUGGUGGUCGGAAGCCCAGAGACCAAGUAGUAACCUUAUCAUGAACGUAGUUGUAUAGCAACGAUUGCACCACCUACCACAGUGAUCCAUAUCAGUUUCAUGCCGCUACCACUAAUUCCUUUCUUUGAUACUUGUAGAUGCUGCACAGGGUUCCUCGAUCUCUAGUAGCAACUAGUAUUGGAUUACUACUCCAAAUAUCUCAUCCUCUAUUGAUCUGCAGCUGGCCUGGCCAUCUACAUUAUUUACUAGGACGGUUUUGACGGUUUUUUGUGCAGUUUCAGCUGAUCCUGUUUAAUCGCGGGCAACACACGGGCGAUAUGCUAUGCUAUGCUAGUUAACUCCUGAUGCUUGUCCGAAUGUGGUGCUCAUUUGCUAAUUUGUUGUUUUUUUUUGUUAGUGCCAAAAAAGCCGUUCAAUAAAAUCACCAUGCGUUUCAAUUGAAGAGUUACUGCAAUGCAUGAUGGGGACGCAUCUGAUAUAUUUUGUUACGUUGAAGAUUAAAAAAUCUCCAAUUUUUAAAAUAUCAAGCGACACGGUCUCCUGUGUCCUGGAACCCUCCAAAUCGGCCAAAUGAGAUAAGAUAAUGGUGUACGCAUAGUUAUUGUUGUUCAAAGCACAAUUAGAUACUUUUCUCGAAAGGCCCAUUAAUUAUCUUCAAUUUAAGGUCUAAACACUCAAAAUCGGUAAAACGGCUCGAAGGUUACAAAUUUAUGAUAAUUUAAA